UACGAAGGGGGCUAGCGUUGCUCGGAAUCACUGGGUUUAAAGGGUGCGUAGGUGGGCAAGUAAGUCAGUGGUGAAAUCUCCGGGCUUAACCCGGAAACUGCCAUUGAUACUAUUUGUCUUGAAUACUGUGGAGGUCAGCGGAAUAUGUCAUGUAGCGGUGAAAUGCUUAGAUAUGACAUAGAACACCAAUUGCGAAGGCAGCUGGCUACACAAAUAUUGACACUGAGGCACGAAAGCGUGGGGAUCAAACAGG
rnacentral:rRNA from 1 species